rnacentral:rRNA from 1 species
AAUGAACGUUGGCGGCGUGGAUUAGGCAUGCAAGUCGAGCGCGAACCGUAGCAAUACGGGGAGAGCGGCGAAAGGGAGAGGAAUACGUGGAUACCUACCCUCAGGUUCAGGAUAGCUGUGGGAAACUACAGGUAAUACUGAAUAAUAUCUCCGGAUCAAAGGUGUGAUUCCACCUGAGGAGGGGUCCGCGUCCUAUUAGCUUGUUGGCGAGGUAACGGCUCACCAAGGCGAAGAUGGGUAUGGGAUGUGAGAGCAUGAUCCCACUCACUGGGACUGAGACACUGCCCAGACACCUACGGGUGGCUGCAGUCGAGAAUCUUCGGCAAUGGGGGAAACCCUGACCGAGCGACGCCGCGUGUGAGAUGAAGGCCUUCGGGUUGUAAAUCACUGUCAGAGGGGAGGAAAUGCUAGUGGGUUAUCCCAUUAGUUUGACCUAGCCUCAGAGGAAGGACGGGCUAAGUUCGUGCCAGCAGCCGCGGUAAGAC